rnacentral:misc_RNA from 1 species
AAGACUAUAGACCUGCGGAGUACCUGCGGAAGGAUCAUUCACAAUAAGUGUUUUAUGGCACUUUAAUUCCAUAUCCACCUUGUGUGCAACGUAGUUCGUUUUUCGAACAAAACAUCAACAUUUUAAUUAUCAACAGAUCGUCUGAAGUAUUAUAUGAAUAAAUCAAUUCAAAAUACAACUUUCAGCAAUGGAUCUCU